GUGCCAGCAGCCGCGGUAAUACAGAGGGUGCAAGCGUUAAUCGGAAUUACUGGCCGUAAAGCGAGCGUAGGUGGCUUGAUAAGUCAGAUGUGAUAUCCCCGGGCUUAACCUGGGAACUGCAUCUGAUACUGUCAGGCUAGAGUAGGUGUGAGGAAGGUAGAAUUCCAGGUGUAGCGGUGAAAUGCGUAGAGAUCUGGAGGAAUACCGAUGGCGAAGGCAGCCUUCUGGCAUCAUACUGACACUGAGGCUCGAAAGCGUGGGUAGCAAACAGGAUUAGAAACCCGCGUAGUGC
rnacentral:rRNA from 1 species